CCUACGGGAGGCAGCAGUAGGGAAUCUUCCACAAUGGGCGCAAGCCUGAUGGAGCAACACCGCGUGAGUGAAGAAGGGUUUCGGCUCGUAAAACUCUGUUGUUGGAGAAGAACGUGCGUAAGAGUAACUGUUUACGCAGUGACGGUAUCCAACCAGAAAGUCACGGCUAACUACGUGCCAGCAGCCGCGGUAAUACGUAGGUGGCAAGCGUUAUCCGGAUUUAUUGGGCGUAAAGCGAGCGCAGGCGGUUGCUUAGGUCUGAUGUGAAAGCCUUCGGCUUAACCGAAGAAGUGCAUCGGAAACCGGGCGACUUGAGUGCAGAAGAGGACAGUGGAACUCCAUGUGUAGCGGUGGAAUGCGUAGAUAUAUGGAAGAACACCAGUGGCGAAGGCGGCUGUCUGGUCUGCAACUGACGCUGAGGCUCGAAAGCAUGGGUAGCGAACAGGAUUAGAUACCCGUGUAGUC
rnacentral:rRNA from 1 species